rnacentral:rRNA from 1 species
CCUACGGGAGGCAGCAGUGAGGAAUAUUGGUCAAUGGGCGUAAGCCUGAACCAGCCAAGUCGCGUGAGGGAUGAAGGCUCUAUGGAUUGUAAACUUCUUUUAUAAGGGAAUAAAGUGCGGGACGUGUCCCGUUUUGUAUGUACUUUAUGAAUAAGGAUCGGCUAACUCCGUGCCAGCAGCCGCGGUAAUACGGAGGAUCCGAGCGUUAUCCGGAUUUAUUGGGUUUAAAGGGUGCGUAGACGGCCUUUUAAGUCAGCGGUGAAAGUCUGUGGCUCAACCAUAGAAUUGCCGUUGAUACUGGGAGGCUUGAGUAUGUUUGAGGCAGGCGGAAUGCGUGGUGUAGCGGUGAAAUGCUUAGAUAUCACGCAGAACCCCGAUUGCGAAGGCAGCCUGCCAAGCCAUGACUGACGCUGAUGCACGAAAGCGUGGGGAUCAAACAGGAUUAGAUACCCUGGUAGUC